GGAGAUGUACCCAAGUGGCUGAAGGGACCGCUCUCGAAAAGCGGCAGGUCGGUAACUCCGGUGCGAGGGUUCAAAUCCCUCCAUCUCCG
rnacentral:tRNA from 1 species